UUUUUUUUUUUUUUUUUUUUUUUUUUUUUUUUUUUUUUUUUUUUUUUGCACAUCUCUUUUUUUUUUUUUUUUUUUUUUUUUUUUUUCAUU